rnacentral:rRNA from 1 species
AUUAGAUACCCGUCUAUUCAUGACAUAAAUAGUAGUUGAAUAUUACGAACAAUAGUUUAAAAUUCAAAGAUUUUGGCGGUGUCUUAUAAAAUCAGGGGAACCUGUCUCAUAACUCGAUAAUCCACGUAUACUCAACCCUCUCUUGAUACACCAGCAUGUGUACUGCCGUUGUAAGCACACCUUUAAAAGAACGAGUGUGCCACUAUGAUUAUUAGCUAACUCAUAUACAUCAGGUCAAAGUGCAGUUAAUGAGGGGGAGAUGAUGGGUUACAACCCUAAAACAGACUAUCAACUAAGAAAUUAAAAAUCUUAAGAAAGUGGACUUGACCGUAAUCAAUUUAAAAGUUAAAAAAAUGAAUACUAUCUAAGACAUGUACACAUCGCCCGUCACUCUAUCCUAAAGGAUAGAUAAGUCGUAAC